rnacentral:rRNA from 1 species
CACAAUGGGCGCAAGCCUGAUGCAGCCAUGCCGCGUGUGUGAAGAAGGCCUUCGGGUUGUAAAGCACUUUCAGCGUGAGGAAGGUGGUAGUGUUAAUAGCACUAUCAUUUGACGUUAGCGACAGAAGAAGCACCGGCUAACUCCGUGCCAGCAGCCGCGGUAAUACGGAGGGUGCGAGCGUUAAUCGGAAUUACUGGGCGUAAAGCGCAUGCAGGUGGUUUGUUAAGUCAGAUGUGAAAGCCCGGGGCUCAACCUCGGAACUGCAUUUGAAACUGGCAGACUAGAGUACUGUAGAGGGGGGUAGAAUUUCAGGUGUAGCGGUGAAAUGCGUAGAGAUCUGAAGGAAUACCGGUGGCGAAGGCGGCCCCCUGGACAGAUACUGACACUCAGAUGCGAAAGCGUGGGGAGCAAACAGGAUUAGAUACCCUGGUAGUCCACGCUGUAAACGAUGUCUACUUGGAGGUUGUGGCCUUGAGCCGUGGCUUUCGGAGCUAACGCGUUAAGUAGACCGCCUGGGGAGUACGGUCGCAAGAUUAAAACUCAAAUGAAUUGACGGGGGCCCGCACAAGCGGUGGAGCAUGUGGUUUAAUUCGAUGCAACGCGAAGAACCUUACCUACUCUUGACAUCCAGAGAAUCUAGCGGAGACGCUGGAGUGCCUUCGGGAACUCUGAGACAGGUGCUGCAUGGCUGUCGUCAGCUCGUGUUGUGAAAUGUUGGGUUAAGUCCCGCAACGAGCGCAACCCUUAUCCUUGUUUGCCAGC